rnacentral:lncRNA from 1 species
CCCAACUCUCUCUAGUCAUGACGCCCCCCAAUCUUGCAAUAUCCCCCCGCGCGCUGCACGCAGAAGCAAAGUACUUUAAACAAAUCCAAAAGGUGAGUCUGGGUUUGUUCCAAGCAAAAAAGUUCAUUGCUUGCCUGUGAUCAAUAGAUGUCCCGGUUCCCACCCCCAGGACAUCUUGGCCCUAGUCUCUACAGCCCAGGCUGCCCAGAGCCCAGCAACCCGCACCCUGGCAAGACCAUGGGCAGAGAGCAAGGGGGAGAAGUAUCAGGGGCGCUCUGGAGGGGCAUUUAGACCAGAAGGUAUGGGGGCGGCAGCAAGAGCAUGCACCCUUGUCCAGAACGCAAUGUGGGGCUCUUGGGGCCACUCACCUGCUUGGAAUUCCACUUGGCGAUUUUUCUCUUUUUCCUCCUCUAGCAGCAUGGAGUAGAGGAUCCCGACAGAGUUAUGGAUGCCGAAGAUGGAGCCAUUGCACCAGGUGGCUGCGAACACGACCAUCCAGCCGAAGCCACCUUCGGGAGGCUCGAAUCCACGCACGGUGCCGCGGGUCUCCACUGUGGGCGUGGGGUUGGGUUCGAGCACGGACUCAGGCUCAAACUCCAGCUCUGGCAGAGGUGCGGGGUCCGGUAGGGGCUGGGGUCCUGGCUGGGGCUCCGGUGGAGGCACUGGCACUGGAACUGGCUCAGGCUCAGGCUCAGGCUCGGGCUCUUGCUCCGGACUAUCCUCUGGCUCCUGCUGUUCGUGGUCUGCCUCCUUCCAGGGCCCCUUGGCUUCCUCGCUAGCUGGGCUUUGCAGCGCCAUCGCGGCCGGGAGACUGUGGCCGCUUGGGCUGGAGGAGCCGCUGUGUGGCUGGUACUUGUUUCUGCCGCUGUUACUACUGCUCCGAACGUAGCUGCCGCCUCUGCUGCUGCCUCCUCCUCCCGGCGCCCCAGCUGGCCAGCCCGUCCCGCGACAGACGGUCCCACGAGCCUUCUCCUCCUCCACCUCCCCUAUUCAACCCCCCUCCUCCUCUCCCCACGUCAUCUCUCUCCUGCCCCUCCUCCUCCUCCCACCUCUUCCUCCCUCCACAGGCAGCCGCUACAGCCUCGGCUGGCUCUUCUCCCUGGCCCUUCUUCCUCCUCUUACUCGUCUAUCUACCCGCCGCUGCCUCCUCUAAACUCUUCCCAACUACUGAAUCCUGUUCUUGUCCAGAUGCCCAGUACAGGAAAGAUUAAAAUGGAAAAAAAGAGCACGAACUGUCCUAUUGUCCUGCCCUCUCCUCCUUACAGACUCUAGAACCGGCAUUGAUCAACCCUGAGUCUCCAAGGACUACCCUGCUUAUUCUUCACUCCCAUUCCCUUCUUCCUUACAAGCAGCUUGCAACCGAAGUGGCCCUGGGGACUUCAAGAGGACAGCUACCCAAUGAAGGACACUUCCCUGCGUUCAGGAAUCCCUAUGUCCCCACUUAGGCUUGAGGGUGCGACCUGGAGGGGACAGCCAGGGUUUCAGACAGAGGGUAGGCACAAUCCUCUGGAGCCCCUGGCUCAGCCCCCCUCUCUGACCUGCGCACCCUCCAGUCUCCCCCUACCUCCGCCUUUCCCGGCAAAUCCUGGCCAGGCGGGGAGGGGAGGAGGCGACUUCUCAGGGAGGUCCGCCCCUCCGGGCAGUCAAUCAGGGCUUUGUUUGCGCCAAC